rnacentral:rRNA from 1 species
UAAAGCGAAUAGUGAAAUCUGGUGGCUCAACCAUCAGGCUAUUAUUCGAACUCACAAACUCGAGAAUAACAGAGGUAACUGGAAUUUCUAGUGUAGGAGUGAAAUCCGUAGAUAUUAGAAGGAACACCAAUGGCGUAAGCAGGUUACUGGGUUAUUUCUGACGCUAAGGCACGAAAGCGUGGCGAGCGAACCGGAUUAGAUACCCGGGUAGUCCACGCCGUAAACGAUGGAUACUA